GCUCAACCGGGGAGGGUCAUUGGAAACUGGGGAACUUGAGUGCAGAAGAGGAGAGUGGAAUUCCACGUGUAGCGGUGAAAUGCGUAGAGAUGUGGAGGAACACCAGUGGCGGAGGCGACUCUCUGGUCUGUAACUGACGCUGAGGCGCGAAAGCGUGGGGAGCGAACAGGAUUAGAUACCCUGGUAGUCCACGCCGUAAACGAUGAGUGCUAAGUGUUAGAGGGUUUCCGCCCUUUAGUGCUGCAGCAAACGCAUUAAGCACUCCGCCUGGGGAGUACGGUCGCAAGACUGAAACUCAAAGGAAUUGACGGGGGCCCGCACAAGCGGUGGAGCAUGUGGUUUAAUUCGAAGCAACGCGAAGAACCUUACCAGGUCUUGACAUCCUCUGACAACCCUAGAGAUAGGGCUUCCCCUUCGGGGGCAGAGUGACAGGUGUGCAUGGUUGUCGUCAGCUCGUGUCGUGAGAUGUUGGGUUAAGUCCCGCAACGAGCGCAACCCUUGAUCUUAGUUGCCAGCAUUCAGUUGGGCACUCUAAGGUGACUGCCGGUGACAAACCGGAGGAAGGUGGGGAUGACGUCAAAUCAUCAUGCCCCUUAUGACCUGGGCUACACACGUGCUACAAUGGGCAGAACAAAG
rnacentral:rRNA from 1 species